rnacentral:lncRNA from 1 species
CUCCUGAUAUAAAACAAUACAGCCAAAUUAUGGAAAGCAAGAAACAGGUGUCACUCAUAGCCUGCUAGUACUGGGCAGGGAUGUCUGCUACAAAUAUAAAUCUGUGAGUGCAGAAGAGCCUGGACAGUGCUACCAUCUAAUAGGUGUUCAGUGAUUGCAUAUUUGCUGAGUAUAUAAAUGGAAGACAAGAGUAUGAUCCCAUUUUCCAGAGGUGGAAACAGAGUCAGAAUGAUUAAAAAACUUGUCCAAGUCACAUAACUAGUGUAUUCAUCAGAUUCUUAAUAAUAAACAACAGAAAUCAACUUUGGAUGAUUUGAAAAAAAAAUAAAAAGGAAUGGCUACUGGAGAGUUCAUGGAAGGAAGACUCAGGCUUAGCAAAUGAGCUGGAAUAAGCAGGGGAAGAAGGCAGCUUUGACCGUGGGUGAAGGAAUUCGAGAAGCAGCCUGGUGAGGAUACUGCUGACAUCUGCUGAGUAGGGGACAUUGCAGAGUGUUCUGCUGUGGCCAUCACUGUCCCUGGGUGUCGGCACUUGCUAUUUCUGCUGCUGGCUUCAGCAACAUGACUUUGCCAUUGGCUUUCAUUGUCUGCAUCAUUAGUUUUUGGUUAAGUCUGCUUGGUUGUGACUUAGCUGCAAGGGAAUCUGGGAAACAAAGCCUGCGAGGACACAGUGCCCUUCUAAAUCUCUGGAGUCUAGCAAAGCCCAAGAUCAAGGUUCUGGCAGCUUUGGUAUCUGCUGAGGGCUGCUUUCUGCUUCCAGGGUGAUGCCUCAUUGCUGGGUCCCAUAUCAUGGAAAGGGAGGAAGAAACAAACUUAUGCCUUCAAGCCAGUAAUCCCAAUGGUCUCCUGAAGGCCCCGCCUCUUGACACUUCUGCACUGCGGGUUCAGCUCCAUCAUGAAUUUUGGAAGAGACACAAAUGUUGG